GAAAGAUGGUUCUGCUAUCACUCUUGGAUGGACCUGCGGUGCAUUAGCUAGUUGGUAAGGUAACGGCUUACCAAGGCAAUGAUGCAUAGCCGAGUUGAGAGACUGAUCGGCCACAUUGGGACUGAGACACGGCCCAAACUCCUACGGGAGGCAGCAGUAGGGAAUCUUCCACAAUGGACGAAAGUCUGAUGGAGCAACGCCGCGUGAGUGAAGAAGGGUUUCGGCUCGUAAAGCUCUGUUGGUAGUGAAGAAAGAUAGAGGUAGUAACUGGCCUUUAUUUGACGGUAAUUACUUAGAAAGUCACGGCUAACUACGUGCCAGCAGCCGCGGUAAUACGUAGGUGGCAAGCGUUGUCCGGAUUUAUUGGGCGUAAAGCGAGUGCAGGCGGUUCAAUAAGUCUGAUGUGAAAGCCUUCGGCUCAACCGGAGAAUUGCAUCAGAAACUGUUGAACUUGAGUGCAGAAGAGGAGAGUGGAACUCCAUGUGUAGCGGUGGAAUGCGUAGAUAUAUGGAAGAACACCAGUGGCGAAGGCGGCUCUCUGGUCUGCAACUGACGCUGAGGCUCGAAAGCAUGGGUAGCGAACAGGAUUAGAUACCCUGGUAGUCCAUGCCGUAAACGAUGAGUGCUAAGUGUUGGGAGGUUUCCGCCUCUCAGUGCUGC
rnacentral:rRNA from 1 species